rnacentral:misc_RNA from 1 species
GAUGAAGAACGCAGCGAAAUGCGAUAAGUAAUGUGAAUUGCAGAAUUCAGUGAAUCAUCGAAUCUUUGAACGUACCUUGCGCUCCUUGGUAUUCCGAGGAGCAUGCCUGUUUGAGUGUCAUGAAAUUCUCAACCUUUUCAGCUUUCUUUGUUGAUCAGGCUUGGAUGUGGGAGUAUGCGGGCUUCUCAGAAGUCGGCUCUCCUGAAAUGCAUUAGCGGGACCUUUGUUGCCUGGCUUUGGUGUGAUAAUUAUCUACGCCAUUGUAGUCAAGCAGCUUAAAAUGAGGUUUCAGCUUCUAACCGUCUCCCCUGAGACAACUUUUUGACAAUUUGACCUCAAAUCAGGUAGGACUACCCGCUGAACUUAAGCAUAUCAAUAAGCGGAGGA